rnacentral:rRNA from 1 species
ACUCAAAUGAAUAGACGGGGGCCCGCACAAGCGGUGGAGCAUGUGGAUUAAUUCGAGGCAACGCGAAGAACCUUACCAAGGCUUGACAUCCCACUGAUGGGCGUAGAGAUACGCCGUCUCUUCGGAGCGGUGGAGACAGGUGGUGCAUGGUUGUCGUCAGCUCGUGUCGUGAGAUGUUGGGUUAAGUCCCGCAACGAGCGCAACCCCUAUCUUUAGUAGCCAGCGUGUAAUGACGGGCACACUAGAGAGACUGCCGUGGAUAACACGGAGGAAGGUGGGGAUGAGGUCAAAUCAUCAUGCCCCUUAUGUCUUGGGCUUCACACGUGCUACAAUGGCUGUAACAAAGCGAGGCGAGCCCGCGAGGGUAAGCGAAGCGCAAAAAAGCAGUCUCAGUUCGGAUUGUAGUCUGCAACCCGACUACAUGAAGUUGGAAUCGCUAGUAAUCGCGAAUCAUCAUGUCGCGGUGAAUACGUUCCCGGGCCUUGUACACACCGCCCGU